CAGGACAGGUUCAGCACAGGCAGAGAUAGUGCAAGCUUUCCCCACACUACCCCAUUCAUGUCCCUCAACCUUGACCUGGAGGGACCACCCUCUUAGA
rnacentral:sRNA from 1 species